CCUACGGGAGGCAGCAGUAGGGAAUAUUGGGCAAUGGAUGCAAGUCUGACCCAGCCAUGCCGCGUGCCGGAUGAAGGCCCUCAGGGUUGUAAACGGCUUUUAUUCGGGAAGAAGAGCAGGGAUGCGUCCCUGUGUGACGGUACCGAAUGAAUAAGCACCGGCUAACUCCGUGCCAGCAGCCGCGGUAAUACGGAGGGUGCGAGCGUUGUCCGGAUUUAUUGGGUUUAAAGGGUGCGUAGGUGGCUUUUUAAGUCAGUGGUGAAAUACAGCCGCUCAACGGUUGAGGUGCCAUUGAUACUGAAAAGCUUGAAACAAGUGGAGGCUGCCGGAAUGGAUGGUGUAGCGGUGAAAUGCAUAGAUAUCAUCCAGAACACCGAUUGCGAAGGCAGGUGGCUACGUUUGAUUUGACACUGAGGCACGAAAGCAUGGGGAGCAAACAGGAUUAGAUACCCUGGUAGUCCAUGCCGUAAACGAUGAGGACUCGCUGUUGGUCUGUCAAGGAUCAGCGGCUUAGGGAAACCGUUAAGUCCUCCACCUGGGGAGUACGCCGGCAACGGUGAAACUCAAAGGAAUUGACGG
rnacentral:rRNA from 1 species